GUGGAAAUAGUUUCUAUCAAAAUUAAAGUAUUUAGAGAUUUUCCUCAAAUUUCAAAUUAUGCGAAUCCCAUUUUCCGCGAUGCUGCAGCGCGGGGGUUUUAAUUGCAGGAUCACGCAGAACGCCACGCCGUGUGAUUGUGACUCAAGGUCUCUCCUCCCAGCUGCUCCCUCCGGUCCACAAGACAAGGAAGACCCUCGGUUUGCCAAGAUCAGCAGCGCUGAGCGACCAGGCAAGACAGUCACUGAUGCCUGAACCGAGUUCACCGAUGUCACGGAGGCCGGGAGGCCCUCAGCAGGGCCCGGGGGCUCCCCACCUCCAGGAUGGCCAAGAAGAAACAGGACCAGGAGCCUAGGGCGCCCUGGGGAGCCCCCGCCGCGCGGGCCAAGGGUGGCUGCCCUCAGAGCUCAGAUGGGCUCCCCGGAGCGGGGCUUCCGAGCCCCUGGAGACGGCGUGAAGGUGCAGAUUCUGCGGCAGGUCCGGUCCCGCGUUUCUAACAAGCCCCCGGGUGACGCGGCUGCUGCCUCCGCGGCACGGUGGGCACAAGGGCCGUGGGCUGGGGCCGGCCUGGGCUUUCAGGCCUUUCCACGCUGACCCGACACCGACCAGGCCGCAGCCUGGGAACCGGAGCCGGCAGCUGCGGGCCGCUCUCUGGGAAGCGGGACUGACCUCCCCUCCCCACCGUCGCCCCUGCGGUGAGAUCCUGCCUGCCUGGGAGCAGGGCCCUGCGGCUGGGCUCUGGGAGACAGAAGUGGCCCCACGGCUCGGGCCCCACGCAGUGGACACUGACACUUAAUGUUGGUGUAAUUGAUGUCAAUUCGGGUACCCAGGCCCCCAGUGAGAUGCCUAAUGAAUUCGCUGCGAUUAACGGUGCUCCACGCCGUGGACGGUGGCCAGUUCUGAUGGAGGCUGAGCCGGCUGGGGAGGCGUCUUGGCCAAGAACCAGCCCCAGCCUCGCUCAGGGCCCCAACCCGCAGACCAUGUAAUUAAGCUGCGUUCUGCAGCCAGGGCAAGAGCCUCAGCUCUGAACACCUCCCCGCACCUCUGAGGAGCCAGGCCUGGAAAGCCUCUAAAAUAGAUUUUUCUGCCUCAAGACAGAAGAUGGGCGUUCCCGGGAGAGAAGAGCUGCCCAGUCACCUGCUCUGCUCCACCUGGUCAGAGACCCUUGACCUUUAGAAGACUGGACCUGAGGGCGUGGCUGGUGGAUCUGAGGACGUGGAUGGUGGACCUGGCCAGCUGUAGCUUUUUGGGUUCUUGUGGUCCCAUUUCUUGGGUCAAUCUCACACCUGCCCGCUCCCAGGAAGAUACCCCCAGGCCCCUCACACUCCUGGGGGCAGCUGGAAUUGGCUUCAGGGCGGGACGAGGGGCCCCAUGGGUGUUUGGAAUCCCUGAUCUGGGUCCGGCACUGGCAGCAGGAUUCUAGCCUGGCCUGGACUCUGGUGUGUCCCGUUUGAAGAAACCCCGCCCUGUGAAAGUUCAAGUUUAGCAUCCAAGGACCCAUUUAAGAGGUUUGCUGAGCCACGUCGCAGGAGGGUCUGGGUGCAAACGGAGGUGGCAACACGCAGAGCGAGCCUUGAGCACCCAGGUUACCCCCAGGGCUUCCAGUCCAGCCUGGGGGCUCCUGCCGUCCUGCGGAGCAGCCCCCUGGGAUCAGGGACGUGGCUGAGCUGGAGAGUGUGCAGGAUUGAAUAAUGAUGUCUGCCACGGUCAGGCCAACUGCUGUGUUUCUGUGGCCCACAAGCUAAAAAUGGUUGGAAAAAAAUCAAAACAUUAAUAUUUGUGACAUAUGAGAAUGCUGUGAAAGUCAACUUUCCUGUCCAUAAAUAAAGUUUUAUUGACA